ensembl:lncRNA
UAUGACAGCUCAUUUGCUGUUCACUUCCUGCAGCUGUACCUCCACUUCAGAACUACUGAAUUGGAUUGGAUUGGGCUCCACCGUCUUUAGAUUUAGAUUUGGGCAUUCUUGACCUGAAUGUGAUUUCUGUGUGUAACCCCUAAUUAACCACAUACUUGGAAUGCCUAAACCCCAAAUUAACCACUUUUUUUUUAAUUUAAAACUUAACCCUGAACCAUAAAUGUAUUUCGUCCAACUCAGUUGUGCUUUGGAACAGCAAAAUGUCUGUGACGAUGGAAAAACAGAGAACUGAAAUUACUUUCUGUUUACCUAUUCAGUUUUUACUGUUAAAGGUACAUUUCCUGAAGUUGUCCUAUAAGUCUUCAGUGUUGAAAUAUUUCACAGAGGCUUGUUCCCUGCAUCCACUAGCCGAUUAAGGAUUGUUGAACUGUUCCCUGCAAUCCUCUAUCUGAUGAAGGAUUUUUGAACAGUUCCCUUUAUCCCUUUUCCGAUUAAGCCUUGUUGAACUUUUCCCUGUAUCUUCUAUCCGAUUAAGGCUUUUCCCUGUUUCCUCUAUUUCACUGAGGCGAGAUGAACUGUUCUAUCUCUUCUCUAUUUGGCACCAUAUUCGACCCCAGUGCUAUUGGACUCCUGUGUCUGACUCUCCCAGGUGUCUUUGACUCCUAUGUCUGACUCUCCCAGGUGUCUUUGACUUCUGUGUGUGACUCUCCCAGGUAUCUUUGACUCCUGUGUGUGACUCUCCCAGGAGUCUUUGACUCCUGUGUGUGACUCUCCCGGGUGUCUUUGACUCCUGUGUCUGACUCUCCCAGGUGUCUUUGACUCCUGUGUGUGACUCCCCCAGGUGUCUUUGACUCCUGUGUCUGACUCUCCCAGGUGUCUUUACUCCUGUGUCUGACUCUCCCAGGUUUUGCUGGAAGCAGUCCGUGGUGUGUUGACGUCAUGCUGUUACAUACACUGUUGUUGUGACAUUCCUUCUGUGGAAAAAUGAGCACUGCCUCUUUGGGAACAAAGAGCUAUUGUUCCGGUGAACACCUAGCAUUUUUCUCUUUGCUUGUGUGUGUCUGCAUUCAAACCUAUUCUAUUCAGGGAGCUUCAUGUUAAGUCAUAUGGAGGCAGAGAUAUGGCGAGAUCAAUAAUCUUCCUUGCUUAGUGUUCUCUG